AUGUAAAUCACACUUGCAUUAGCUUAAAUACUGCACAGUCAUUAGACACAUGCUUUUAGCUUGGCUUCCAGGAAGACACAUUAGUUCAAUGUGUAUGCCAAAGGUUUUUUGUUUUGUUUUGUUUUAUUAUCCCUUUUUUGGGUAAAAAUGACAUAAGUAAAUUCAAGUCCCUGAGGGACUACUCUUUUCCUAAGGAGAUGUUCUUUGUACACAAAGAUUUUUUCCACUUUUUAAAAUUUGUAUAAAUAGAAAAUUGCUAUGUUUCCCUUCAAUAACUAAACACUUUUUACUAUUUCCUUGAAUUACAGAUAAAGAGUCAUUAAAAAGUUUAAAAUAUGAUCAAAUAUGUUUCCAACAGAACAUGCAAACAUAAUCUUCCUGCUCUACUAUUCAUGCCAAAGCAGCUAUACCUGAUAUCUUUAACUGUUAACUACAGUUCUAGAAAUUCUCUAUACCAGUCAAUCACAAUGCCACACAAUAUGCAGUAUUCUCCCUUCUCCCAACACUGUCAAUGUCUCACUACUCUCCUAAUCUUAAUCCCUACCUCAUACCACAAAGCAAUGAUCUCACUAGGCUUCCAAGAUAAUGGAAAAGAGCAAGUCUACAAACAAAUAUAGAAGUUCCAUUCUGGGUGAUUAUUUGGAACACGCAACACAUUCUGGGCCCAAACCCCUAGAAAAUUCUCCAAGAGAAGAUGACACAAGAGCUAGGUCAUCAUCUGAUAUUGUUGUAGUUAACUCGGCUCCCUCUUCAAUGAAAUAAUGUCUUUUAGUUUGAUUGCUUUGACACCUGUUUUUUUGUUAUUUCUACUUUUGUUUGAUUUGUCUUUUGUUUUUUGCUUCCUGACUUAAGGCACUGAUAAUAUGCUGUCACGUAAUACAGUAACAUUCGAGAUGGAACUGGAGGAGCAGGGAACAUAGAGUGAUCGGGAAGAAAAGAGGGAAACCUGAGCAGAGAAAACUGGGAAAAGAACCAGAGGUUCUUCCCCUGGGCCACCAACUUCACCGAGAGUUGUCACAUAUGGUGUCUUUCACCACCAGAGAAGGUCUGGCUAAUUCCUUCAUUUUCAAUAACAACAAUGCUGGGAAAGGUCUGUUUGGUCUACCUCUUGAACAAUCAAUCAGGUAAGAACCUAGCAUUGUCCAUGACAACAGAGUAAUUGGAUCUGGGAAAGAAGCAGUGACCAGAAGAGGGGAGAGUAUAGCAAACAUGGCAUACGCCCAUUACGUAGGAGCCCUGUGGGAAAGCAGACAGAAGGAAAGGGUGUGUGUUGUUUCAUAACUUUCGUGGGAUCUCAUAGUUCUGCCUCGCAUUCUUUUUAUAAAAUUGGUAAUAGAUUCAUAAUCACUGAGUUGACUGCAUAAAUGAAUGUGUAAAUGAAAGUGACUGACUUCCAUGCUUUAUAAUUUAUGUCUUUUAAAAUUAGUUUUUAUAUCUCCUCUAUUGUUAUAAGUUUCAAUAACCAUUUUUGGCUAGAGGGCUUGUGAUACUGGCUUUAUGCAUUUCUGUUGUAACGUGAACUAUAUUGGAAUAGUUGGCAAACAUUAGGAGUCCUACAUAUAACGUGGGACUAGCAAGUUCUCCGAUUAAUAAAGUACAGAAGCUUUUGUGUAAGGGUUUGGGCAUCUAUGUUGGCUAGGUAGACAUACUUAUGCUUUGGUUGAUGUUUUGGGCUGUAUUCUGAAGAACUGUUGCUCAAGCAUCUUUUUUUCAGGUAAGUGAAGCACUGUUGUGCUAAAUGGUAUCCUGAUCGUCUAAGGAAGAGUCAAGGCUGUCAGUUCUAGCAUGUCCUAGUCCUCUUGACAUUCCUCUGCCAAAUGGGAAAAGUUUAACGUGGUGAAAUAAAAUGAAAAUGAACUUAAAGCGAAUUCUUCAACAGGAAAAAUUAAAACUCCCCCAAAGAGCAACGUCCAUGGCACAGAGUAGAAGAACGGAGAGAUAUUUGUUUCUGUUGAAGUUUUUCACAAUGAGACGAUUACAGUUGUAUCACUGGGAGUCUCAGGUGUAUUCUUAGCAUCCACUGGGGAGACCUCCUCCCUUCCCUCCUGCUAGUUUCCUGAGUCAUUGUUCAUUUGUACAACUGAGAAAAUGCUAAUUGUGUGCUCAUAUACGGAACCCCCAAAGUUUCAUUUCUGUGGAUUUCAUGUCAAUCCACCACAUUCCUGAAAAGAUUCUUCCAACAGUCUCAUGUCACUCUUAUGAAAACACUUGCUAUUAUGCCUUUGAAUCCUAGCAGUCUCAGUGUUAAUUAUUACCUUGGUUGUAUCUGCCUCAGUGCUGUGUACCAUAGACAAUAAAUGUAAGUGGGGUCUUUAAUAAUAAUUGAUAUUGUUGUUCACUACAGAAAUAAUUCCAUUUGAAAAGAUCACAUAAAAAAGGAAUUUUUUUAAAAAAAAAAAACACUGCUAAUUUCCUUAGUAAGAUGUAUGUGAAACAGAAAAAGGGGAGCAAUCGCAAUUUCUUGGCCAUUAAGCAUGCUGCUUAUCUGCUUAUUAUGAAAUCAGUUCGACAAAAUUAAAACUGCAUUACUUGAAAACUGAUUAGUGAACUAAGCACAGGUAGUUCCUCAUUAACUUAUAAUUUAAUGAUAGAAUUCUGCUGAAAUAUAAUUUUCUCAUUUGGAAAUAAAUUUGUUUUAAAUUACCUUAAUCAUACCGUACAACUUUAUUUUAAACCUUGUUGCAAGCUAGAUUCUUCUCUUCAAAUGAAGAGGGUAUUUGACCCUUGGUAACUCAAUCCCGUUAGUUCUUCCUCUGCUAUGAGAAUGAUUCUUUGCCUUUGGCCUUGAUUGUUCCAUCUUUGAUCAUUCUCACUGCCUGUGAAGGCCAUGGAAUAGUCACUCUUAAACACAGUUUUUUUUUUUUCUUGUCUUCUAAUUUAAAAGUAAAAUAUUGAUAUCAGUUUAUUUAAUGGCUCUUCCUGACUUUCAUAUUGCAGAUCCUUUUUCUAGCUUAUUAUGAAUAUAAUUUAUUGGAUUUCAGAACACCAUUCUACUAUUUUCUAGCUGGGACCUUCCGCUAAAUGCUAUCUAAUAUAUAUUUUAUCCGUCUUGCCUAACAGAGACCCAACAGUACUCACGCCAACAAUAUGUCCAACUGAAAAAAUAUAUCCAUUUUCCAAUGUCCUUAGCAGCUGGAUGACCACCAUGGGCCACAUGGCAAAUCACACGUAAGCAGGUGCCUGCUGGAGGGUUCUGGGAAAAUGUGUUUCCUGAUAUAGGUGCUCUUUUCCUUUUACUGUAGGGAAUGUAAAUGGAAUAGAGCCACAGAGUCAUCUCGAUCUAUGAGAAAAAGGCCACGAGAAUCACAGGGCCCUCACUCAGCCUUGUUAUCCCUGAGCUCCUGAAUCAGUGCCAGAGACCACCUGUGGAGUCCUAAUAAGAUAAGUAAGCAACAUUGAGGAAAGCGCCCUAGGUUGGGGAGAACAAUCUGAGAUGGCUAAUCACAGACAAGCCGCUGGCACAACAUUCUGUUCCCAAAUAUCUCCUUCAGCACGUACUCCCAGUAACUCCAGCAGCAUGACCUCAUUCUGCACAUAGCCCCUCCAUCAUGACCCUAUGAAACUUGCCUUCAAUCCCUGCCUCUUUGCAGACAGCUCCUUCUCUGCUGUGCUGUCCAUUGCACCUUUGCAACAUAUCUUCAUACUUUCUCUAAUAAAUCUGCCUUUCUUUACCUAUUACUGUCUUGGUAAAAUCUCUUACCACCCACAAUGCCCACCCCAGCCAGUGGCACCCAUGACAGGCUUCCGGCUACAUGAGAAAAAAAAGAAAAGAAAAGCAAAACCGAACAAAACACAAAUUAAAAAUCCUUAAUUGUCCCAGCUAUUGUUUGAUUUGGUUUUCUGUUAGUCCAGGCCAAAUGCAAGUCCUGAGUGACAGAAUCAUGUUGGACAAGUCUUUUAAAAUUUGUCCUCCAAUAUUCAUAUGUCUUAUAAAAUGGAGGUAAUAAUAGAACUUAUUUCAUAGGACUUUUAGGAGAAUUGGGAUAAUUCAUGUUAGACCAGUGACAGGUGUAACAUAUGCUUGUUAAAUGAUAGUAACCUAAAAAACUAUUAUUUAUCAAUGAAACAGAGACGGAGUUUCUUAAAAGUUGUUCAGAGGGGUUGGAAAGGCAAUGAUCACUUCUAUGUCCUAGUUCUGUUUCUUAACAACUAUUUUCAGCAUUUCUGUUCUUAAAUUUCUGGGGUUUACUUACAUAUUUCUAUUUAUAUAUGUGUGUGUGUGAUGCUUUUUUCAUGUGUGUGUGUGUGUGUGUGCAUGCGUGUAAUGCUUUUUCUUGACUGAUUUUAGAAUUCGACUAUAAUAUCCUGCUCUGAUUGAGGAGGCUUUAAAUAUUUGACUCCAUCUCUCACCUGCCCUUUCUCCUUGCUUGUGUUAGAGUUCUAUCACUCAUGCCCGUUCCUCCCUGUCACCUCUAAACACUCAAGCAACAUACUCAAACUCUCUUGAUCCAUUCAUUAAAAAUAGUAUCCCUUGGCUCCUCUGUGACAGGAGGACACUUACCUGCCAUUCCUUUUACUUCCAACUCUUGUUAGCUUAAACUCACUUUUAAAUUGUCAGUUUUUAUCUUUGUUCAGCAUUCAUAAUUACAACUUUAUUUGCAUAUAAAUUGAUUCUGAAAGUUUAAAACAAGUCCAAUAAAAAUUUACAUGAGUAUGAAAUUGCAACUAUAGUUUUCUGCUGGGCCAUAUUAGAAUAUAUCAGAUUAUUUGUUUUAGUUCUAACACCGUAACCCACAUGGCUCUCCAAAGGGACAUUCCUAAUAACAAGUAUAUAUGGAUCUUUUUAAGUUCUUUCUUCAGUUGUUGAAACUCUUACAUAUUUUAGCAUGGUUGAUAUUUGGAUAAUACAUUUCUGAUACAUUUAUCCCCACCCCUCUACCUUAACUUUCUUUUGGAGAGAAAAAAAUUAAGUCUUUUUCAUUUAUCUGUCAUCUUGUAGUUUCCUACUGAUUACCUGAACCUACUCCAUUCCUAUACUUGCUAUUUAGACUUUAAGACCAGUACUUUUGUUUAGCUCUCAGAUGUUUUCUUGUAAUAUCUUCCUUAAUUUCCCUCUUCUGGUUUCUCCUUUUCAUUGGCUGAUUAUGCCUGUAAAUACUUGUUGAAUGAAUGAAAAUUGUAAUAUAGUCGUUAGGAAAAUUAUUAGCAUGGUAUUUUCAAAAAGUGUUUUUAAUUCGUAGUGCCAGCUUAUUCAUUGGGCAUUAUUUGGCUUAACUACUAAAGAUGGCAACCAAUAUCAAGGUGAAAGGUGAAACAGAUCAACCUGCCUCUCUCAAAGUUAUGUCAAUAUUCCCCUGCCAUCCCCAAUAUUUUAUAUGUGGAGGUAGAAAUUUAAUCAAGGAAGCCAGAUUUUCUUAGAACUCUUCUUCCUUCCAAAAAGUUAUGGUUAUUUUUUUUUUUUGUGGUACCCGUGUUCCUGCUUCCACGCUAGGCACACAGGUAAUGCAAUCAGGGCUUACUUAGCUGCCAGGCAUCAGAAGCCAGGCAGACAGAGGUACGUGGAAGAGUAGCUUGUCUCUGUGCAAUGGAGUGGAUGGAAGGAAAGAAGAGAUACUAUUGCUGAUGCAGAUUUCUGUUUUCUUUUUCUGGGGAGAGGUGAGUUUGUACUAACAGUAGCACACAGUCUGAAAUCACAAUCAUUUCUAUGACUCAGAGUUGACAUUUUCCCUUCAGUUUGACGUUAAUUGCUUUUAUGUGGGCACCACUGAACACUGUCUGGAUCCAAAAAAGCUCUUGCUUAGCAAAUGCAGAAAAGACACCCAGGAGAGAGAAGGCAGGGGUGCUUUCUUCCACAAUCACCAGAAUAGCAAUUGCUGCUGCUUCUGUGAGUGUAAGGGAGAGACUGAAAUCCAAGUUGCCUUUUUUUUUUUUAAAUAAAAAUCUUUUCAAUAUGAAUGUCUUUCUUUUGACUUAUGAGCUUUUAAACAAAUGUUCCAGAUAGACGAUGUUCUCACAAUACAAAAGUUUAAGUUGUUCAUCCUUCAUUUGCCUGACACAUAUCCAAAAAGUGCAGAAUGUAGAGUAAAUCUCAUUCUCCAACAAAGGACACCUACCACUAUAAAAUUCCAAGACUAAUAGUGCAAUGAAUUGACAUAGUAAGAACUUUGUCCUUUUUAUGAUUGGGUGGAGGAAUAGCCUAAGACGACACAGGCAUUUUUUUUUUAAAUAUAAUAAGGUCAGGAAUAGCAGGUAAUGAUGAUCUCACAAAACACAAUAACUUGUGGAUCUAACUUUUCAUGUUUGUAAACAGUGAUCUUUUUGGCACAUGUAUUCUACUCGUAAGGAAGUCAUGCACAGUUUUCCAUUAUGUCCCAAAACAAAUUGCUGAACACAAUUUAUGGCAUCAUCUUUUCUUUUCUUAACGAUUUUUCAUCAUUUAAAGUCAAACUUACAGCUACUGCUGCUUACUCAUCUUAAAUUGGUUUGAAAUUCAAAAUAGAAACAAGAUAAAGUGUACAUUUUGUACAGAAUAUACGCAAGUGUUUGAAAACUCUUACCUCGAUGCAUAUGCUCCCAGAAUAAAAAUAAAUAUAAGAAUCUCACGUCUCUUGAGGUCACUUUUAAAUAGCGAAUACUAUUAUUUUAGAGCAAUUCUAAGAAAAUUCCUGAAGUUUUUGAUGAAAGGCCUGGAGGUGGCCUUAGCAGACCCCUUCACUUGCCCCUCUUUCUUUUCUAUUUCCCAACUUCAUUUCAUAGACUAUAAUGUCUUUUGCUUAAAAGAAAUUCCCCUCUCUGUGACAUCUUCUCUCAUUUCCUUGGCCUGAAAGGUGUCAACUAUUUGGUAAAUAGAAGUUAUUUUCAUUUGCUUAAGAAAGUGUGGAGCAACUUCUGGGUAAGGAAGUGACAGUCACAGUAACUCUGAGUGGGAAUAAGGUUAGCUUUGGGAAAAAAAAGAUUAGGAAAAUGGAAGCCAUCAUAAUGAAUGGCACCUGGGUCCUCCUACUGAGAAUCCUGACAAGCUGGAGAGAGAAUUAUUCUGGGAAAAGCCUGGAGCAACCAAUUUGCUAGGGGGCCUUAAUUUCUCCCAACUCUAAAUGAAAAGUUUGGAGCACAUGAUGUUAAAAGCCAUUAUGACUCUUAGAUUUUACGUGACCUAUCACUUAUUUUCAAGAAUUCAAAAGCCUCUCCUUUUCCUUUUCCUUUCCCUUCUCCUUCCUUUCCUUUCCCGUCCUUUCCUCUCUCACACCUCCCACAUUUAUUGAGCCAAGCACUAAGUUAGAUCCUGGGAAUACAAAACAGACUAAACUAUUGUUUUUGACUUUCAUCAGCUCACAAAUACAGGAUAGGUUAUCAGACACACUGAUUGAUAAUUACAGUGUAAUAACUAAUUGAAAAUAUGUUCAAGGUUCACAGAACAACAGAUGAAAGAACAGUGGGCUAUUCAUGGAAGUCAUAAGAUGGAGCGAGCGAUGGAUGAACUGAGUUGAUACUGAGUGCCUCGGGAGGCCUAGGACUUUUCUUGGUGGACAAAAGAGAGAAAGGCAGUGUAGGAAAUGACCAUAUUAUAAAGGCAUUACUAUUAAAAUUGUAAAGGCAGAAGAAUCACAAAUAGUUAGGAACUGCUGGAGCAGAACAGUGCAACAGUCAAAGCGGUGAACCAUCAGUACCUGAGGGUAGGGGCUAUGUUUAGUCACUGAUAAACCCUCGGUGCCCAGUGAGAUGCUUGGCACAUACUAGGCCCUCAAUAAAUAUUUGUUCACUAAAUGCACAGAAACUUCAUUUUGCAGGCAACAGAGAAUGAAAAUGAUUUAAAAUAUGAUCAGGAAUGAGUUUAUUUUUUUAAAAGGCCAUUCUUAUGCAGCUGAGCAGGCAGAUUUGUAGAGCAAAGUGUGAGAGAAUUUCAGGAAAUAGGUAGGUAAUGAUUGUACAUUAGACCUGACAAGGGCUUAACAAGACGGCAGGAAGAAGGAGCAGGAAAGAGAUGUGAGAGCUAGUUAGGAAAUUCAGAGAGCAGGUGUGUUAUUUAGAUUGUGCACAAGAAACUGAUACAGAUGAAGUUAAUGAAAACUUCCAGAAAAUCAUACUCAUACCCUUGAGAUAAGUGAAUUAGACUCUUCAAGAAACUCACAACUACAGAGGGGGAAGAAUCUAAAAUUACAAACACUAAAGACUAAUGUUCAGAUUAUAGAACAUAUUUUCAGAGAGCGCAUUUCUUCUGUGACAGCUACUUCAAAAUGUAAUAAUUUAAUGUACAGAGAUCCUCUGCUAAAUUUUUCUUCUAUGUGUGAAAUAAUAUUUAAAAAUCAAAAUGGCCAACAAGUUUGAGAAAAUGACAGUAUCUAUCAAAGCAGCACACAUAAAGAUUUAUGACCAGUCAUUACACUCCAAUAUCCAGCUCUCAGAAAGGCAGAUGUUUGUAGCAUCGUUAUUUAUAGCAGUCCUAAACUCACAACUACCUGAAUGUCUACCAACUGUAAGUAAAUUACUGACUACUACUUAGCAAAGAGAAUGGACAAACUACAAUCACACAGAAAAUAUAGAAGAAUCUCUUAAAUCUCAUAAUAUAAUGUUGAAUAAUAGAAGUCAGACCAAAAAGAUUUUAUUGUAUUAUUUCAUUUACAGAUAUUUUAAAAACAGGUAAGACUAAUCUAUAAUGUUAACUGCCAAUAUAGAGGUAAGUAGGUAGGGUGGAUAUCUAGGGUGCUGGUUAUGCUCUGUUUCUUGAUCUGGAUGUUGAUUAGGUGGAUAUAUUCCUUUUCCAAAACUCCAUCAGGGUAUAGAGUAAGAAACUGUGCACUUUUCUGUGUAUGCUACAUUUCAAUAAAACAUUAAAUAAUCUGGCUCAGUUCCCAUGAGCGUGGUGUUAACUGGCUGCCUCCUCUCAGCUUCCGUUUUUCUGAUUCUUUCCUUUUAUGUUAGAGUGUCAAUGAUUCAGCCCUUGGAUGUCUCCUCUAUCUACAGUCACUUCCUGGCUGAUCUCAUCCAGCUUCAUUAAAAAGUAUGAUGACUUUUUAAUACAAUCAAACACCCAAUGACCCCCAAAUUUACGUGAACUGAACAUGACCAAAACUGAACUUCUGCUAUAUAUUCCUAAACAAAAAAUUAUGCUCUAUUUUAUAUUUUCCCUAUGUCAGUAAAUGAUAUUUCUAUCUUUGCCUCUUGGGCCAAAACUUUUAACAUCAUCUUUGAUUCCAUGCAUCUUUCUUUCACAUGCAACAUAAAAUUCAUAAACAUAUGCUGUCACUUCCUCCUUUAUAAUAUACGUGUGUGUGUGUGUGCAUGUGUAUGUGUACACAUACAUGCAAAUUUGGAUUCCUUUUUAUUUCCUCCACAUUCCACAUUGGUCUAAGUCACUAGCAACUCACCUAAAUGUUUCAAUUGUUUGGUAAUGAAUCUGCUUGCUUCCGUUAUUUCCCCUCUGCCACGCAGUUCAUUAUUGAUUAAAUGUUAAGUCAAAUCACAUCUAUACUCAGCUGAAACCCUCUCAUGGCUUCCAUCUCACUCACAGUAAAAGCCAAAGUCCUUCCAAAGCCUAUGCCACCCUACAGCAAAAUCAAUUGCAAUUGCCUCCUCAGUUCCCUCUGCUACUACUACCUUCCCUCAAUCUUGCUUACCUAGCUGCUGUCACACUUGGCCUUUGCUGUUCCUAAAGUACACCAGACUAUCUUUUGCCUCAGGGCUAUAGUGCAAGUGCAGUGCUGUCUCUCCAGACAUCCUCCUGACUUGCUCCCUCACCUCCUUCCAGUCUUUGCUUAAGUUUCACCUCCCAGAGAUGGCUGCACUGACCACCCUAUUUAAUGCCCUCUUCCACUGCACUCUCCAUCUCUACCUCAUUUUUGUCAAUAUCACUAUCUCUUCCUAAUACACCGCGUGACUGACUUCUUUAUUUUACUCAUUGUGUCUCCCACCUAGAAUGUAUGCUCCACUUCGGCAAGGGUCUUUAUCUGUUUUCUUCACUGCUUUAUCCCCAGCAUCUAGAAUAGAACUUGGUACAUUGCAGAAGGCUUAACAAAAUGCUGUUGAAUAAAUGAGUGAAUGAAUCCAAGUUCUUCAUUUUAUAGAUGAAGAAUGUACCCAAACUGUCAAAGGACUUGAAGGCUCAUAUCCAUUUGACAGAAGAUUAAUGCUAACAUUUCUGAUUUAUAGACAUCUUCUCUAGGGCUCUCUCCUCUUUACUGUGUUCCUUCCUAGGGCCAGAAUUUCAGAACUCGUGGAUAUGAGUUCUGUCCCAUUUAGUUCCUUCUCAAGAAGAGCCAAAAUUAUGGCCUUUAAGGGCAACAUAUUUUAUUUGCAACAAAGUCUUACUUUUUUCAGCAAGAAAAAAAAAAACACCCAUAUUUGUCUCCUCCAGCAGUAAUUUCUCGUUUGCUUGGUUUGCAUUUGUUGAAUUAAUGGGUUGAGUGUUGUAAGGUAAACUUGUAGAACAUUGUGUAACGAUUGUAUUCUUCUUGACUUUUAAAUUUGGCCCAAAGGCAUGAUUUGUCUCCCUUAUUCUUUAAUUUUCAAGUUACGUGUUUAAAAAUGGAAUCUGGAGACAUCCAAAAGAUUUUCUUUUAUAUUAUUCUGUACCUCUUUCCUUUAUAAGGGAUGAGAGAUGCUGUGGUUAAGAAUAGGAUACAAUCUAAGUCACAAAAAAAGUAACCUAUUAUAAAACUUCUGAAAAAUGUCCACAAUGACCAUUAAGGGGGCAGAGGGUUCUCUGUCUAUUGAAAAAUGUUGUCUUAAAAGGUCACAUUUCUUAAGCACCCAGAGGGCUCUAGGAAUGGUUUGGAAGUUAGAGAAUGAACAAAUGUGGUGGAGAGUGCUGAUUCUGCUCUGCAAGAUAAUGUUACGUGCUUUCCCCAUUGUAUUCAGUGGUCAGGACCUGAGGUUUUAUUUAGCACAAUGUUUUUCUUAAUGUGAAUCUAGAACAAAAGCUGCCUAUGGAAGCCCCCAAGUCUUACUCAGACCAUACUUGUGUUUUUUUGGUUCACAUAGUGUUUUUAAACAACUGUUGCCAAUAUUUAACAUCUUUCAUGGAUUCUGCAGCUCCUUUUAGAAGAAAAUUCAAGAUCUGGCAAUACUGUGCCCAAGCUUCUUUAAGGAAGAGAUUGUCAAAGUGUGGUGCCUGGACCAGCAGCAUUAGCAUCACCUGGGGACCAGUUAGAAAUGCAGAUGCUCAGGCUCCAUCCCAGACCUGCUGGGGCUGGGGCGCAACAAUGUGUGUUUUAAUAGGCUCUCUAGGUGACUGUGAUACCUGAUGCUCCAAGGUAACAGUAGUACUUGCAAAUCUUAAGUUCUGACUGAGCAGUUUCAGUGGGGCAGGGGGAAAUACUCUACAGAACAUCACAGCCAGGGAAGGCAAAAUAUUCUCCAUAGCUUCAUUAAUUAUACCGGGAACAUCAAGUAGCCCCUGGGAAAAUCUCUGCAGAUACACUCCUGAUGGGGAAUAUUACAAGGAUUGGAGAUAAAAAUCCCUAAGGAAAAUUAGUGGGUAGGAACCCACAGAGAGGAGGAAAUUAACUAUAUUUUAGAUAGGACUGCACAAAGGCUUAAUGCAACUUAAGAUAUGCAGAUUGAUGUGUAAUAUAAAUAUAUUCACUCUUAGCAAAAGCUUCCCUGAAAGCCACUGCCAUUUAUUGCACGCUUUUAAUUGAGAUUUAGUGCAUCCCAUAAAUUGGUCACUUUUUAAAAAAGGAAUAUAAUUCAUUUGGGGAAAGAUAUUUUAAAAAUAUUUUGCAAACAUUUCGAAUCUGUUUUUUUCUGUACUCAUUUAUCCAUCUAUUCAUAUGCAGGGAAAUAAAGUAUAUGUCACAUAGACAAUGUUCAUUGAACUGAACUCUCUCCAAGUAUAAAUGAUACUAUAGAAAUAAAUGAGUAACUUGGCUCUUAAAGAGAGAAAGUUGAUUCUGUUUAUAAAAUACUUGGAAAGCAUAGUUUCUAAAAACCUUCGAAUAUUAAAACUAGUUGGCAUUUUGUGCAUCCCAUUAUAAGAAUUAAAGUCAAUAUUACGUAAGUGUUAGAAAUAAACCCCUGCCAAUAAUCACUAAUGACAUAGAAACCAGGCC